GUAAUUGGAAUGAGUACACUUUAAAAGCUUUAACGAGUAUCCAUUGGAGGGCAAGUCUGGUGCCAGCAGCCGCGGUAAUUCCAGCUCCAAAAGUAUAUAUUUAAGUUGUUGCGGUUAAAAAGCUCGUAGUUGGAUUUUGGGCGCAGGCGGCCGGUCCGUCGCAAGGCGUGUACUGGACGUCCUGGCCUUCCCUCCGGUUCUCCGCCGGUGCUCUUGACUGAGUGUCGGCGGCGGCCGGAACGUUUACUUUGAAAAAAUUAGAGUGUUCAAAGCAGGCUCUCGAGCCUGGAUAAUGGUGCAUGGAAUAAUGGAAUAGGACCUCGGUUCUAUUUUGUUGGUUUUCGGAGCGCGAGGUAAUGAUUAAGAGGGACAGACGGGGGCAUUCGUACUGUGCCGUUAGAGGUGAAAUUCUUGGAUCGGCGCAAGACGAACGACUGCGAAAGCAUUUGCCAAGAAUGUUUUCUUUAAUCAAGAGCGAAAGUCAGAGGUUCGAAGACGAUCAGAUACCGUCCUAGUUCUGACUAUAAACGAUGCCAACUAGCGAUCGGGGGGCGUUACAUUGACGACCCCUCCCGGAGCUUACGGGAAACCAAAGUCUUUGGGUUCCGGGGGAAGUAUGGUUGCAAAGCUGAAACUUAAAGGAAUUGACGGAAGGGCACCACCAGGAGUGGAGCCUGCGGCUUAAUUUGACUCAACACGGGAAAUCUCACCCGGCCCGGACACAGUGAGGAUUGACAGAUUGAGAGCUCUUUCUUGAUUAUGUGGGUGGUG
rnacentral:ncRNA from 1 species